rnacentral:lncRNA from 1 species
UGGCUGGGCAGACAAGUUUCCAGGCCAUCUGAAGACUCCGACAGGGGCUUGUAUAAGAAGCAGGCUAUGGCAAAGAAGAGGACGCCCAGCACCUGGGGAGAGAGGAGCCCGCUGGACCUCGUGGGGAGCUCGGCCAGAGCCUUUGGAUACUGGUGGGCCUGUCCCAGUCCUGUCCCUGCCCCAGCCUGCAGCACCCUCACCAGGUCCACGGAAACCCAUCCUGCUCUGAGAGGGUAUCUUUCCCAUAUAACCGGUUUGUAGAGCAGACGCCAAUAUUGUUAAAGAGGGAAUGAAACACACCCUUUGACUAAAAACAGAGGCACAGGACUGAGGGGCUUGUCAUGGGUUGAACAGUGCCAGACACCAGUGAAUGGGACCUUUUUUGGAAAUAGGGUCUUUGCAGAUGUAAUUAAGGAUUUGAGAUGAGACCAUCCUGGAUCUAAGGUGGGCCCCAAAUCCAAUGACUGGUGUCCUCAUGAGAGAAAGGAGAGGAAGACUUGAGGCAGGGACAGAGGGAAAGGCCACAUGCAGCUGCAGAGAGCCAGAGCGGCGGAAGGAGCCCGCCCUGCCCCCACCUGCAAGCGAAUCUGGUUCUGCUACAUCAGGCCACCCCGCUUGCGGUCCUUUGUCGUGGCGGCCACAGGAACCUCACACAGAGCCAGUCGCCGGUCACCACCACAGCCGGGGUUCAAGCCCCGGUGCCACCAUCAUGGGCAGUUCUGAACCUUCAGGGUCUUGGUUUCUUUGUCAACAAUGAGGGGCUGCACCGACUUUGCAGGGCAAGAGGACGAUGUGGCAGGAAUCCCACGUGGGCCCCAAAGGCGGUGAGGUCCAAGCACGGAUGCUGCCGCAAUGCCCACGCAGAGUACAUGUGCACCACUAUGAUUUCCACGCUGGGCGUGGACCAGAAACACCCACUGUGCCUCCUGGAGUGUCAGCCUGGCUGAUGGCCCUGAGCCUGCAUUCAGGGAGUGAGGCUGUUUUGACUCGGUGCAGGACAAAGUGGAAUGCGAGGGUGUUUAUAAGGAGACACCGUGUGCUCCCCCGCUACAAUUAACAUGGACGCAUGCGCUGCUGAGGCCAACUCUGACCCUCUGGAUACGGCUCCCGCUGGCUGUGCUGAGCCCAGGGGAUGGCUGCGUGUGGAGGGCUCUCAGCCUGCUGCUCCCAGCUAAGGGAUGCAUCCAACACAGCAAAGAGAGAGUCUGGGGACGGCUCCCUGGGAAAGUACAGCAGCCCCCUCAUCCGCAGACACUGAGACCCCUGUGGACGCGUGAGUCUAAGGGUAGUACUAAGCCCAGCCAAGGAACUACACCUUCUCGCUGAAGGAGGCGCCUCCGGCUUCCCAUUGGCAGAGCUGAACGGCGGCGUGAGUGCUCCGGUGCUUUGGGGCCAUGAUUAGGUAAAUAAGAGUGGCUUGAACAUGGCACUGUGAUAUGGUGAUGGGGGAUGUGGGAACCACACCGGCUGCUAAGUGAUCAACAGGUGGUGGCAUGAAUAGCCUGGACACGCUGGACAAAGGUUAUGUCUUAUGAAGUCAAAUGGUCAAUUUCCUGAUGCUCAUGUGCCUUUGGGCUUCCCCAAACACCACCACUCCCUGAGCAGAGACGCGCCUAACAGAGAGUCAACCGUUAUUUUAUGCCAAAGCGAAAGGCGUAUCACAGAGGGCUUGGGCCUUAGUAUCCAAUAUCCCCAAAGCUCCCUGCAGAAUAAGUUCUGACCUUGCCUUCUUCCAAAGUUGGACAAAGGGAGAAUCCGAGUCCUGGGCAGGACAGAUCAAGAUCUCACCAGACUGUGCAGAACGGCGCGUGCUUUAAAGGUUAUGAACUGUUUGCUUCUGGAAUUUCCUAUUUAAUACAUUCAGACUGUGGUGGACCUCUGGUAACUGAAACUGUGGAAAGUGAAACCUCAGAUGAGGGGGAAACCGAGGUGUAUGUCUCCUUAACCCACUGCUUCUCUCCAGAGCCACACAAGGCCCUGCUCAGACUCGCCUCUUUUCUGCUAAUCCGAGGGGAGGUGAACCAGCUGGGCUCCUUCCCUUUCUCUAACCUCCCUCCUGGAAAGCCUGAGGCCACGGGUUCCUGCAGGAUGAACUCUCCUGGGUCCGUCACCCAAGGAAGAGCGUCAAGAUCCUCUGAACAGCUGGCCGUGGGACCGCAUUUUAUUUAGAAGGCUUUGUGCUUUAUCGUCUAAUGGGGGCAAAUUCCAAACACAAAUACUGCGUUUCCUCCCAGGUAGCAUACGCCAAAAGUCACAACAGAAAGUUUCUGUUAGCUUGAAAAAUGAGGGCCAGACUAAGAGAUCCAAUGGAAUCCAAGGCGCACUGAUCACGGAGAGGCUGCAACCUGCCCGCCAGCCCCCCAGACUGAGGCCCGGAGUGGACCAGCUAGUCAAGCCGCUCUAACAGGAGCAGCCACUUCUUAUUUCUGCAAAGCUUUUAGUUAACGGGCAUCCCGGGUACGUGCAAGACCACACUGUGGAGGGGCAGUCCCAGGAGGUGGGAGAGGGAGCAGGGCCUGGGCCUGGGCUUUGCUGGAGCUGCUGGGGGCCUGGACAGUGAACCCCAGGAGGAGGCCCUGCAGCCCACCUGCCUCUCCCCACAACCAACUCAUGAGGAAUGUGGGAAGGGCCUUCUACAAACUGGCUGCAGGAACAUCUGUGAUGUACUAGGCUGUGGUCCAAGCUGCUGGAAGAUCGCGGCAUGUUCGGAGCCCCCAGCCACCCUCAGAGCAGACCCUCUGUCCCCUCCCUGGGCCUGCUUACCUUGUACAGGAGCCCCAUGAUGAGUAUGUAGCGGCUCAUGGCCGAAUUCUGGUACACCAAGCAGGAGCCCUGCUGGCCACACUGGUCCUGCCACAGCAGACAGGCCUUGUCGAUCACCCAGCCGAAGGCGAUGGGCCCCGGGAUGCCCCCUGCGGAGAGAAGCCCACUCAGCACCCACACUCCUGGUGGGUAGGGGCUAGGCAGGGGGCAGGCAGCCAAGAGGCCUGGAAUGAUGGGCUCUGGGAAGGUGAUACUGGCCGUUGGAGUUCUCAGGGGGUGCAAAGAGGGCUUAAACGUUCCUUUCUUUGGGCAUUCGGCAUUGGGGCUGCGAGUUUCCCAUGAUCUCCCAGGGAAAGCCUUUGGGCAAAUAAAUGACGAUGGGCCCCUCUAGUGGACAGUUAGGGAAUGGACCCCUUCCCAGGCGGGAACAGCCUCCUGCUGGGAAGCACAUCCCCUUGGUGGUUAGACACUUGCCCAUGCCCUUGUGCAGUGAGCACACUGUGCAACUGACCAUGGCUUCCUCACACUGCACAGUACCUAGUAUUCUAACUACAAUCCACUGGAUUCCCAGGGCAAAGGAUCUCUGAGGGUCACGGACACAUCUGCAAUAGAAAACCACAGCGUCAGCAC